rnacentral:rRNA from 1 species
GGCGGCGCGCCUAACACAUGCAAGUCGAACGAGGGAUGAGGAGCUUGCUCUUCAAAUCGAGUGGCGAACGGGUGAGUAACGCGUGAGGAACCUGCCUCAAAGAGGGGGACAACAGUUGGAAACGACUGCUAAUACCGCAUAAGCCCACGGCUCGGCAUCGAGCAGAGGGAAAAGGAGCAAUCCGCUUUGAGAUGGCCUCGCGUCCGAUUAGCUAGUUGGUGAGGUAACGGCCCACCAAGGCGACGAUCGGUAGCCGGACUGAGAGGUUGAACGGCCACAUUGGGACUGAGACACGGCCCAGACUCCUACGGGAGGCAGCAGUGGGGAAUAUUGCACAAUGGGGGAAACCCUGAUGCAGCGACGCCGCGUGGAGGAAGAAGGUCUUCGGAUUGUAAACUCCUGUUGUUGAGGAAGAUAAUGACGGUACUCAACAAGGAAGUGACGGCUAACUACGUGCCAGCAGCCGCGGUAAACGUAGGUCACAAGCGUUGUCCGGAAUUACUGGGUGUAAAGGGAGCGCAGGCGGGAGAACAAGUUGGAAGUGAAAUCCAUGGGCUCAACCCAUGAACUGCUUUCAAAACUGUUUUUCUUGAGUAGUGCAGAGGUAGGCGGAAUUCCCGGUGUAGCGGUGGAAUGCGUAGAUAUCGGGAGGAACACCAGUGGCGGAGGCGGCCUACUGGGCACCAACUGACGCUGAGGCUCGAAAGUGUGGGUAGCAAACAGGAUUAGAUACCCUGGUAGUCCACACCGUAAACGAUGAUUACUAGGUGUUGGAGGAUUGACCCCUUCAGUGCCGCAGUUAACACAAUAAGUAAUCCACCUGGGGAGUACGACCACAAGGUUGCAACUCAAAGGAAUUGACGG